rnacentral:rRNA from 1 species
CAUCACUACGCUAGAUGCAUAUCAAUAAGCGGAGGAAAAGAAACUAACAAGGAUUCCCCUAGUAACGGCGAGUGAAGCGGGAAGAGCUCAAAUUUGAAAUCUUAAAGGGUUUCCCUUUACGAAUUGUAGUUUAAAGAAGUGUUUUCUGUUGGAGUUUCGGUAAAAGUUCUUUGGAAUAGGACAUCAUAGAGGGUGAGAAUCCCGUAUUUGACCGUUACUUUCCAGCUGUGUGAUACACUUUCAAAGAGUCGGAUUGUUUGGGAAUGCAGUCCAAGAUGGGUGGUAAAUUUCAUCUAAAGCUAAAUAUUGGCGAGAGACCGAUAGCGAACAAGUACCGUGAGGGAAAGAUGAAAAGAACUUUGAAAAGAGAGUUAAACAGUACGUGAAAUUGUCAAAAGGGAAGCGUUUGACACCAGUGUUGUUUUCUCGAAAAUCAAUUAAAAAUGAGCCGGAUUUUGUGUUGUUAUGACUUUAUCAGCUUACUGCACUCUUUUCUUGUUCUUUUUAAUGCACUUUUCGUUUAACAAGUCAACAUCAAUUUCUUUUGUUGUAAAAGGGUAAGAGGAAGGUGGCUUGCGCUUCGGCUCAAGUGUUUAUAGCCUUUUAUCUCUGCAAUCGGAGAGAUUGAGGUCUGCAGCGUAGAUCCUUCGGGGUUAGAUACAUUGGUGCUAAGCUAUAGCCUUGUAUAGACAACUUGUUGACUAUGCUCAGUCAUGUAGCUUACUCGCUGAUGCUAUUUUACCUACGCUUAGGAUGUUGAAGAUAUGCGCGACAG